rnacentral:rRNA from 1 species
GAUGAACGCUGACAGAAUGCUUAACACAUGCAAGUCCACUUGAACUUCGGUUUGGGUGGCGGACGGGUGAGUAACGCGUAAAGAACUUGCCUCACAGCUAGGGACAACAUUUGGAAACGAAUGCUAAUACCUGAUAUUAUGAUUUUAGGGCAUCCUAGAAUUAUGAAAGCUAUAUGCGCUGUGAGAGAGCUUUGCGUCCCAUUAGCUAGUUGGAGGGGUAACGGCUCACCAUGGCGAUGAUGGGUAGCCGGCCUGGGAGGGUGAACGGCCACAAGGGGACUGAGACACGGCCCGUACUCCUACGGGAGGCAGAAGGGGGGAAUAUUGGACAAUGGACCAAGAGUCUGAUCGAGCAAUUCUGUGUGCACGAUGAAGUUUUUCGGAAUGUAAAGUGCUUUCAGUUGGGAAGAAAAAAAUGACGGUACCAACAGAAGAAGUGACGGCUAAAUACGUG